GCUGGGCGUGGUGGCGGGUGCCUGUAAUCCCAGCUACACGGGAGGCUGAGAUAGGAGAAUCACUUGAACCCAGGAGGCUGAGGUUGCAGUGAGCCGAGAUCGCGCCACUGCACUCCAGCCUGGGCGACAAAGGGAGACACUAUCUCAA
ensembl:misc_RNA Metazoa_SRP Metazoan signal recognition particle RNA